rnacentral:lncRNA from 1 species
AGUCUCAUUCCCUUUUUGUUGAUGACAAAGGGGGAGAAAAGUGAUGACUUGUAUCAUUUUAAUAGCAUGACUUAUAUGAAUUGCAAAAGCUUGUGUGAUAUGAAUGUCUUAUAUGCCUUGCAAACUCCUUGAGAAUAUCACAAGAUUGAUUGAUCAUAUUGAAAGCAUGCCUUACAUCGAUAUCAUGAAAUUCAUGUUGAAAAUC